UGGAGUAUAGCCAAGUGGUAAGGCACCGGUUUUUGGUACCGAAUCCUUUUACUCCAG
rnacentral:tRNA from 1 species